GGCCGCCUGGCGAAAUGGCAUCGCGUCUGACUACGAUUUCCAAUUGGCUCUGUAAUCAGGAGAUUGCAGGUUCGACCCCUGCGGUGGUCA